GGCGACGUGGCCGAGUGGUUAAGGCGAUGGACUGCUAAUCCAUUUGGCUGUGCCCGCAUGGGUUCGAGUCCCACCCUCGUCG
rnacentral:tRNA from 1 species